GCCUCCAGCGCAAGCCGCCAACCGGCGCGACCUCGCUCGGCUCCCCGCCCUCGCAGGCGACGACGAAGACCAGGUCGCCUUGCGCCUCCAGUCCCAGCUCAUGCUCGCGCAAGCCCGCGGAGGACGGGAGUUCGAGAUGCUACCUAGGGUUGCGCCGUCUCCGGCCACCGCCACCGCCGCAGCGGUUGGACAGCUCUCUAGGGCGGGGCUCACUGCCAGUUUGGUGAGGUUGCCAAGGGGGCUUCCGUCUGUGGCAGGGUCGACGGUCGGCUGCAGGGCCGCGGCAAAGGGGCAGGAGGUGCUCAGCGGGGUGAUGUUCUAGUCAUUUGAGGAGCUUAAGGGGGAGCUCUCCCUCGUGCUGGAGGGCAAGGACCAGUCACUCGCCAGGCACAAGUUCGUCGAUGAGUGCGAGGCCCUCAACGAGCAGGAGCAUACCAAGUUAGUGUUGCUCCGCUUAGUAAGAAUAAAAUUAAUCCUUCUUCUCUUGUGUGUGUUUUUCUGACGAAUCAUGCAGGUAUUUUACUAAUAUUUCUGAAUACAUACUGUAAAAUUAUUUCAAACUGCCACCAGAGACUGUUUCUGCUAUUAUUUCAAUACGAAAUAGAUGCAAAUGUCGAUUUAAUCUUUAAAAUUGCCAUUGCAGUGUGGAGUACAGCGGCCGAUGUCUAAUCUCCUGCCGUUUGGGAGCUGCUGAUUGCUACUACUGGUUCAUUUUUAGGACAGAAAAUGGUUCAGUGGUUGAAACACUGGCGGGUUUCGAAACAGUCAGGACAGUGGGCUGCAAAGUCCAGAUACAAGUGGGCUGCAAACUUCCAUCUUCUGCCCAGUAAAGAGAGUAGGGGCUCCUCUUUGAUUAAAAGGUUUCCAUAGCAAAUGCAUUUGGAUUGAGUUCAGUUUACGAGGCUGUUAGAUGGAAGGUACCCCAUCCUUUUGCUGCUUGUUGGAGGGAAGUAAUUACAACAAUGACUCAGAUGUUGGAUGUCGGUGAUACUUCAGCUCCAAUACAAUUCCAGCCACUCAUCAUCAGCUUCUAGGGUGGAAUGUGCUAUUGCUACACAUAUGGAUAAUUUGACAUGGUAGAGUGAGUGAUUGACGGAGGAAACAUAAGGAGAGAGUCAAAAGACCAGUUGAGCAGAGUGGGUGAUUGACGGAGGAACCAUGAGGAGAGAGUCAAAAGGCCAGUUGAGCAGGCAUUGAGGGCAUGUUGAGAUCAUUUCUUGGUGCAUUUUGUAUCAUUCUAGCCCGUUAAACUUCAAUCCUUCACAAUGUAGUUGUCAUUAUGCAGAAUCUAAGACUGAAGAAAUCGCACUGCUGAUAAUUUAGAUCUCACCCUUGUAAAUAAAGUUGAAUGGGCUGGUAACAUAGUUCUAAAAUUUCAUUAACUCAAAGUAGGCGGUGUUCUUUUUGAAUGGUCUUCUUUCUUCCUCGUAUGUCAAAUGCAAGCAAGCAUGCCUCUGCCGAGGCUUAGAAAUAUCAAGGCGUAUGUGUCCAGGUCACUUUUAUAUACUAAGCAAUACCUUUUCUUCUUUUUGAAUGCACAGACCUGAAAGAGUUCUGUUAUUUUACCCUUUUUUUGUGUAGAUUUCUUCUCACCCAGCAGCUUCUAGAAAGUAGAGUAUAUCGCAACUUCCGAAACUUAUUAAAGAUGAUGGUUCUGAUGUUAAUAUCCAGGAUGAUGCGUUAAGCUCUUUUGAUAAUUUAUCAGAAGAAGAAAGAGCAGAAGAAAAUGGAGGAUCCUAAAAUGACUCAAAUAGAACUAAGAAAUAUCUAUGCCACAAAGCUAGGUAUAUUCAAGGAAAUAAUACGAAGCAUUAUAUUUUGUUUAUAUGCGUAAGUAUACUGACAUGCCGGUAAGCGAUAAUGGUAUUGUUGAACAGUGAACGCAAAUCCAUUUUUUUAGAACAAUCUGUAUGCAUGAGUUGAGCUGGUAUCUAGCUAUGCUAUUUUUAUGCAAGGUGCCGAAGUUCAAUAGCAUUCAUGAUAAUCCCCAACUUUAGUAUCCAGCAAAAGAGGAGGAUAUUUUUGGUGCUACUUAUGGCCGUACUAGCAGAAUAAAUGAUGUAUGCCAUCUAUUAUGACUUGUUCAUCUUGUCUACUGUUACAGCAAUGGGUUAAUUUGCUGGUUUUCCCCUGUUCGUUACAUUCUUUAUUGCUCUACUUAAUGGAAAGCUGUUAAAACUAAAAAAUGGUAACCUGUAGUUACUGGGCACAAUGGAUUUGGUACAACACUGGAUCUAUUUUAUUAAUCCAUCAGAAUAAGCAGAACAGACCCCAUGGCAAUUAAAAUGGUGGUUCAGAAUAUAGAGCGACUUAUAUUAUCUGCAUAUAGAAUAGUUUAUUGUAGGCUACACAGAGCAUCGGUUCAGCACAUCUAACAUUUGUUGUUACUAGGAAUGCAUACAGUUAGUUAGUUACUAUUAACUUAUAUAUACUCACAAUGGCCUCAUCUCACAAAAUUGCAUGUGUUGUACUAAAGGCAUCUGAAGUAAUUCUUUUAGAAGGUCCAUGACAAGAGGUGAAUGGUAUAUUGGUAUUGUACAGAGUCUUCAAUCCAAAGGUAUAAAAUUAAUGCAGUGCCAUAAAAAUUUCUACUUGCUAUGGUGCAGUUUCGACUAUGUCAAUAACGUGCGGGUGUACAUCAUUUACAUUGGUCUAUCAUACAAAAAUGCAGGCUAAUGCUUGCUGGAUAUAGGGACUACUGCAACCCACAUGUAUUACAUUUUAGAUGUCGUUUGUAAUAUCUUUUCUUUUCUGCAAUUCUUAGAACGCUGGAUUUAUCCAACUCCAUUAUGUAUAAAUUAAUUCCUUACUUACACCCUGCAUUCAGAAAUUAUAUUCUAUAGUUACUUAGAAAGAGUAUAUACAUCACCAACUCAUUUUCAGUUGGACAUUUCAUUUUUCAGAAUCACUGUUUGUUUAAUAAUGCUGCAGGUUUUCCUUUGACAGAUUCCAGUUGGUGUCACAGAGGAUAUAUGCUCAUUGGAUUUGUUGAUGUUGAAGCAUCAGCGAGAACACAUGAAUGAGGAAUGAGGGUUCUUAUGAGAUCACAAGAAUGAGCGAAGUAUGAAGAUCGGGCCUCAAAAUUUCAGUACUACUAUCAUUAUCUCGGAUCACAUGAUGUUGGUUGUUGUUAUUAUACAUGCCCUUUUGUGGUCCAUGAGGGAUACAACUAUGUUGGCCCUUAGGAUUGAGGAUUUCAAAUCCGGCUAUAUCAAUAGGAUUGUGCAGAUUAUUUCGAAAGAAACAGUGGUUGCUAUGGUUUGUAUAUUCAAAAGGAAAUGUAUCUGUUUAAGGCAGUGAGGUAUGUCCCAUGUUUACUCAUACACACAUCUCUUGAACUUCCUGCUGGCAAUACAUUAUUUGAUGUCAUCUCUGCUUAUUAUUAUUAUUAUUAUUAUUAUUAUUAUUAUUCUGGUUGCUAUAUUGGUUCUAUUUAUCUCUAUUAUUAAAAGUACAUGUUGCAGUAUCUUUUGGCUAUACCUUAAGGAAGAAAUAUUUUGACAUUUGUAGCUUCUAAAUGUAUUGUAGCACAUGUGGAUAACUUCUUGAUUAUCAUAAACAAAUGUGAUGAUGCAGGUCUACAAACAGAUCUAAACAAAGCACUAGAAAAUAUGUUUGCGUGCGAUGACCAUAUAAAUAAAUACAAUCUAUCUCCAGUCUGAGUAAUAGUGCUCAGACACGUCAAAAUCUAUAUUUUAGAUUAGUGCUACAUAUUGUCGUCUUAGUGGUACCUUCAAUUUUUUUUCAAUCAUUGACAUGUCCUUUUCCUCUUUCUACGUAGAAUAUGGUGAUGUACAAAGCACUUAUACAACUGGAGCAUGGCCUAUCAUGGUAAGCAAACUGUUCUGCGCUCCAUUUUAUUCAUGCAAUUACUUUUUGAAGCAUUAUAUAUUGUUUCCUACAUCUAAACUUUUAUCAUAUACUCCCUCCGUCUGAAAAAGUUUGUCCCAAACUUGUCCUUCAAAUGGAUGUAUCUAGCACUAACUUGGUGCUAGAUACAUCCAUUUGAGAGACAAGUUUUUCGGACGGAGGGACCUCCAUCCCGAAUUACUUGUCGUAGAAAUGGAAAAAAAUGAAUGUAUAUAGAACUAAAUACGUCUAGAUACAUCCAUUUAUACGGCACGUAAUUUCGGACGGAGGGACUAUAUAUGCAAGCAAGCAGGUGGAUGAGGAGGCCAAACCAUCCAUGAGGGCGUCGACAUCAUCUCGCCCCUUGCCUUGUGGGGCGGAGGACGAGGAGGCGGAGCAGUCCAGAGCGCCGUCCUCCUCCUCCUCACCUUCGAGUGAAAGCGGAGGACGAGGAGGCCAUGCUAGCGUUAUACGUAGAUCUUUUUGCAAUUAGUGUAGUAUGUGCUUGCUUGACUGAAUAUCAGUAUGCGUUUAUUUGUGUCAAUGUCAUGCUAGUGAUUUACUCAUGGAUUAAUUUAGUCGACAAAUUGCCUAUUUACUCAAAAAUUCAAAAACCUAUUAUGUGUAUGAAUUUUUCGGCAAGUGGCUUUGCCGCUGCACUGAAACCGGAUAAGUUUACCGGUACGUAUUUUAAGCGUUGGCAGACUAAGACCACUUUAUGGCUCACGGCUACGAACGUGUUCUGGGUCACCGGUGUCUCCACAGGAACGAUUGCUCCUGAACAGGAGAAGGCGUUCAAGGAGGCCACCGUUGUGUUCCUCGGAGCAGUUCUUAGCGUGAUCGGAGAUAAACUGGUUGACGCAUAUUUACAUGUGAAUGUCGCCAAGGACUUGUGGGAGGCGCUCGAAUCUAAGUUCGGGACCGUCGAUGCUGGGAGCGAGAUGUACUCCCUCCGUCCCAAAAUUCUUGUCUUACAUUCGUCUAGAUACGGAUGUAUCUAAUACUAAAACAUGACUUGAUACAUCCGCAUUUAGAGAAAUCUAAGACAAGAAUUUUGGGACGGAGGGAGUAUAUUAUAGAGCAGUUCCAUGAUUACAAGAUGGUUGAAAACUGUCCUGUAUUGGAGCAGACUCAUGAGAUAAUAUGCAUUGUUAAGGAGCUUGAGCUUCUUAAGUGCGAUUACCGGGCAAGUUUGUCGCGGGCUGCAUAAUCGCUAAGCUCCCUAAUUCCUGGAGGAACUUUGCCACCACUCUGAAACAUCAGAGGUGUGGAUUCUCUGUGGAGGAUGUCAUUGGCCAUCUGAGUGUUGAGCAGAAUUUGAGGGCAAAAGACUCGCACGGAAAGGGGGCUGAAGGGACUUCUGUCGCCAAUAUGGUGAACCAGAAGAAUUUCAACUCCCACAAGCCCAAGGGAAAGAACGGUGUCCAACAUAAUACCGACUUUAAGAAGAAGGGUAAGAAGACCUUCAAGAAGAAUAAGAAGGAUGAGGGCUGCUUUACUUGUGGUUCGGUUGAACAUUGGGUCAACAAGUGCCCAAACAAGUACAAGAAGCCAGGACAGGACUCCAAGUCUGUCAACAUGAUUGUGGGCAACAAUGAGAAUGGUGCAUCUGGGUCACAGGCCACGGGUCCGUAUUGAUGGGGAAUGGCGCGAGUGCUUAUGUUCAUGGUGUUGGCACAGUCGAUCUGAAGUUUACUUCGGGAAGGAUCGUGCAGCUGAAGAACGUGCAGCAUGUCCCCGC